rnacentral:lncRNA from 1 species
UGCAGUAAGUGCCUUCCGUGGACAUAUUCUUCUUUUCCUAGGACAGUGCCUAUGCUUUGAUUUACAGAAUAAAUGUCUUAGUGAGUGAAUGGGUGGUGGGACAACUGAGUGAACAUGCUUGCUGAGGUUGUGUUUUUUUUUCCUAUAGAAAGACUUAAUAAUUCCAGGACAUACAACUGCCAUCAUUCACAGUGCACCAGAAGAGCAACCCAAUAACGACAGAAUAACUCGUGUUCAUGGAGUCCAUGAAGAUAACAAAUGUGGCAGGAACGUCAGCUGUAGCGGGCAAGAAGAGUAAAAAAUGUUUUUUCAUCACUCAAGUUGCUCCACAACAGCCAAUUAAUAAACAUGGGAUGGACUCUGAUCACACAUUGGACAAAGAUAACAAACGUAGUAAGGAGUCUACCUCCCAAAGAGAUCCUGAAGACAACAACUCACCAAGGAAUUCGAAGGCAGGAACGUCAGCUGUAGCGGGUAAGAAGAGUAAAAAAUGUUUUUUCAUCACUCAAGUUGAUCCACACCAGCUAAUUAUGAACUCUGAUCACGGAUUGGACAGAGAUAACAAACGUAGUAAGGAGUCUACCUCCCAAAGUGAUCCUGAAGACAACAACUCACCAAGGAAUUCGAAGGCAGGAACGUCAGCUGUAGUGGGUAAGAAGAGUAAAAAACGUUUUUUCAUCGCUCAAGUUGCUCCACAACAGCCAAUUAUGAACUCUGAUCACGGAUUGGACAAAGAUAACAAACGUAGUAAGGAGUCUACCUCCCAAAGAGAUCCUGAAGACAGCAACUCACCAAGGAAUUCGAAGACUAUUUCUACAAAUUCUUGGAAGAAAUCCAUUAAUCAAUCAAUGGCAGCCGAUGCAAAAAGAAAAGAUAUGAAUGAACCACUGGAAGAGUUUGCUAAGGGAUCCACUGAGUUGACGCCUCGUCUGGAAGCAAUACAUCCUUUUUGGACAACAUCAGUGGGAAUGAAUGAAGUACAAACAUGCAGACAAGAUAAUGACAUUAAAACAACAAACAAGGAAGAACAAGAAUGGCUUGAUGGAAGUAAAAAUAAGCAAUUUGAAGAAAAAGGGCAGCGUUGCCAAAGUAAGGAAAUGGAAGUGUUAAGAAACUUGCAUGAAAGUGCUGCUCCUCCUGAUGACAGUGAUGGUUGUGGACUGAAUCAGCAGAGACAGAGUGGGGACCUUGAUAACCAGCAAUCUGCCACUAAGAAGAAUGAAGAAUAUUAUUUCUGCCCUGCCUUGCAUAUAAAGGAAACAAAAAAUGAAAAUGAAAAAGUGACUUCCAUGGAGUAUGGGAUUAGACCAGUGAUAGAGAAUGGCUUUUCACUCACUAGAAGUCUACUGCAAGUGAUUUAUGACAACAAUCUGAGUGAGCUCGAUCGUCUUAAAAGGGAACAGUUAAGAAGAAAAGAAAAGCAAUAUCAUAAAGAAGUAGAAGUGAAACAACUUGAAGUGACACAUAGAACACUAGAAUUGGAUGCGAGGACUUCAAAAAACAAUUUGACCCAGGUAAGUUAAUCUUUGAUAAAAUUUUUAUGUUUCUGACUUGAAUCACUGUUACAUAUAAUGUCCUCCUCAUUCAAGAUAUAUACAUAAAUAUAUAUAUACACACACACGCAUAUACUAAACAGGUGUGUAUGCACACAGACACACACACAGAUGUGUAAUCUUUAUUUAAAGUAACCCAAAAAUUAUUCUGAAGAUGAAUUAUGACAUAUACUGCUGGAGUUAUUGCUUGUGAGUCUUGGUACAUGAUGGUGCUUAGUACAUAUUUUCUAAAUAAAGCAGUGCAUAUUGAGUUGAAUUUAAUAACU